UUCUUUAAGAGGCAUGAGAGGAAGCACAUCAAGUAUUUGAUAAAAUGUUACUUUGGGCUGAAUGAAUGAACUCACUCUCUUACUUUACAAAAGAGGAGGUUCAAUAUAUAUAUAAUGCAAACAUCAUCAACUUCAUUGCAAGUCCAACUUGCAAGCUCGGCUAGGAAUGGAAGAGCGAAGGAUAUUUUUGCAGAUUCUCAUUCAAUUUAAUGACCUAUUCAUUUAGGGGCUAGCUAAUCUGAUAUGUCAUGUUAGCUACUUGCAGCUUGAGCAUGAAUGGUAAUAGGUUUAUGCAUUUAGUUUUUGGGAACAUGAUGAUGUAUCUUGGUGCUAGUACUUCACUGUUUUAUGUGUAAUAAAUAUGGUCCCUCAGCUUCUUAAAGUGUAGAUAGAAGUAGGAUUCAGCAAUUUAAUAGCUAACAUAUAAGGUUUAGAUU